GAUCAACGCUGGCGGCGUGCAUGAGACAUGCAAGUCGAACGGAUGACUCGGGCUUGCUCGAGUCGUUAGUGGCGGACGGCUGAGUAACGCGUGGGUGACCUGCCCCGAAGUGGGGAAUAACUGCCCGAAAGGGUGGCUAAUACCGCAUGUGGUGGUGCGUUCAAUCGCACCAAGAAAGCCGCAAGGCGCUUCGGGAGGGGCCUGCGUCCGAUUAGCUCGUUGGUGGGGAACGGCUCACCAAGGCGACGAUCGGUAGGUGGUCUGAGAGGACGAUCACCCAGACUGGGACUGAGACACGGCCCAGACUCCUACGGGAGGCAGCAGUCGGGAAUUUUGCUCAAUGGGGGAAACCCUGAAGCAGCAACGCCGCGU
rnacentral:rRNA from 1 species